rnacentral:rRNA from 1 species
CCUACGGGAGGCAGCAGUAGGGAAUAUUGGUCAAUGGGCGCAAGCCUGAUGCAGCCAUGCCGCGUGUGUGAAGAAGGCCUUCGGGUUGUAAAGCACUCUCAGCGAGGAGGAAGGUGGUGAACUUAAUACGUUCAUCAAUUGACGUUACUCGCAGAAGAAGCACCGGCUAACUCCGUGCCAGCAGCCGCGGUAAU